rnacentral:rRNA from 1 species
GACGAGGGAUCCUAGCGUUGUUCGGAAUCAUUGGGCGUAAAGCGGGUGUAGGUGGCUUUGUAAGUCAGGUGUGAAAGCCUAGGGCUCAACCCUAGAAGUGCAUUUGAUACUGCGAAGCUUGAGUGCUAGAGAGGUUACUAGAAUUGUUGGUGUAGUGGUGAAAUACGUAGAUAUCAACAGGAAUACCGGUGGCGAAGGCGGGUAACUGGCUAGACACUGACACUCAGACCCGAAAGUGCGGGGAUCAAACAGG